rnacentral:rRNA from 1 species
UUGAUAGUACCCGAAGAGGAAGAGACGGCUAACUCUGUGCCAGCAGCCGCGGUAAUACAGAGGUCUCAAGCGUUGUUCGGAUUCAUUGGGCGUAAAGGGUGCGUAGGCGGCGCGGUAAGUCGGGUGUGAAAUCUUGGAGCUUAACUCCGAAACUGCAUUCGAUACUGCCGUGCUUGAGGACUGGAGAGGAGACUGGAAUUUACGGUGUAGCGGUGAAAUGCGUAGAUAUCGUAAGGAAGACCAGUGGCGAAGGCGGGUCUCUGGACAGUUCCUGACGCUGAGGCACGAAGGUCAGGGGAGCAAACGGGAUUAGAUACCCCGGUAGUCCUGACAGUAAACGGUGCACGUUUGGUGUGGGAGGAUUCGACCCCUUCUGCGCCGGAGCUAACGCGUUAAACGUGCCGCCUGGGGAGUACGGUCGCAAGAUUAAAACUCAAAGAAAUUGACGGGGGCCCGCACAAGCGGUGGAGUAUGUGGCUCAAUUCGAUGCAACGCGAAGAACCUUACCUGGCCUUGACAUGCAUCUCUAAGCUGGUGAAAGCCAGUGACUCCCGAAAGGGAGAAUUUGCACAGGUGCUGCAUGGCUGUCGUCAGCUCGUGUCGUGAGAUGUUGGGUUAAGUCCCGCAACGAGCGCAACCCCUGUGAACUGUUGCCACUGGGCCGUGAGGUCCAAGCACUCUGUUCAGACUGCCCUGUGAAACGGGGAGGAAGGUGGGGACGACGUCAAGUCAGUAUGGCCCUUACGGCCAGGGCUGCACACGUACUACAAUGCCCAGUACAGAACGAUCCGAGACCGCGAGGUGGAGGAAAUCUAGUAAAACUGGGCUCAGUUCGGAUUGGAGUCUGCAACUCGACUCCAUGAAGCCGGAAUCGCUAGUAAUGGCGCAUCAGCUACGGCGCCG